CUGCUGCCUUCCGUAGGAGUCUGGUCCGUGUCUCAGUACCAGUGUGGGGGACCUUCCUCUCAGAACCCCUACGCAUCGUCGCCUUGGUGGGCCGUUACCCCGCCAACAAGCUAAUGCGCCGCAUGCCCAUCCUCCGCCGGAAUCGCUUCCUUUUAACACCCGUGGGAUGCCCCACUGGUGUACCACGCGGUAUUAGUCCGGAUUUCUCCGGGUUAUCCCCCUGCGGAGGGCAGGUUGCAUACGUGUUACUCACCCGUGCGCCGGUCGCCGGCAG
rnacentral:rRNA from 1 species